GGGAUCACGUUACUGACUCUGGCAUUGUGCACAGAUGCCACCCUAUUCCCGACAUAGUGCACUACUUUAGACCAGAGGAGUGAGCAGGCAGGUACUAGGGAUAGAGGAGUGAGCAUGAAGGUACUAGGGAUAGAGGAGUGAGCAGGCAGGUACUAGGGAUAGAGGAGUGAGCAUGAAGGUACUAGGGAUAGAGGAGUGAGCAGGCAGGUACUAGGGAUAGAGGAGUGAGCAUGCAGGUACUAGGGAUAGAGGAGUGAGCAUGCAGGUACUAGGGAUAGAGGAGUGAGCAGGCAGGUACUAGGGAUAGAGGAGUGAGCAGGCAGGUACUAGGGAUAGAGGAGUGAGCAGGCAGGUACUAGGGAUAGAGGAGUGAGCAUGCAGGUACUAGGGAUAGAGGAGUGAGCAUGCAGGUACUAGGGAUAGAGGAGUGAGCAGGCAGGUACUAGGGAUAGAGGAGUGAUCAUUAAGGUACUAGGGAUAGAGGAGUGAUCAUUAAGGUACUAGGGAUAGAGGAGUGAGCAGGCAGGUACUAGCGAUAGAGGACUGAGCAGGCAGGUACUAGGGAUAGAGGAGUGAGCAUGCAGGUACUAGGGAUAGAGGAGUGAGCAUGCAGGUACUAGGGAUAGAGGAGUGAGCAUGAAGGUACUAGGGAUAGAAGAGUGAGCAGGCAGGUACUAGGGAUAGAGGAGUGAGGUACUAGGGAUAGAGGAGUGAGCAUAAAGGUACUAGGGAUAGAGGAGUGAGCAUGAAGGUACUAGGGAUAGAGGAGUGAGCAUGAAGGUACUAGGGAUAGAGGAGUGAGCAUGAAGGUACUAGGGAUAGAGGAGUGAGCAUGAAGGUACUAGGGAUAGAGGAGUGAGCAUGAAGGUACUAGGGAUAGAGGAGUGAGCAUGAAGGUACUAGGGAUAGAGGAGUGAGCAUGAAGGUAAUAGGGAUAGAGGAGUGAGCAUGAAGGUACUAGGGAUAGAGGAGUGAGCAUGAAGGUACUAGGGAUAGAGGAGUGAGCAUGAAGGUACUAGGGAGAGAGAAAAACUGCAAACUUAAUUAUUAUUAUUUAUUUUUUAAUUUUAAGAAUAGGGUGCCAUUUGAGACGGAUAACAGACUCCACGUGUUACAGGGAGUGGAGAUGACGGAUAACAGACUCCACGUGUUACAGGGAGUGGAGAUGACGGAUAACAGACUCCACGUGUUACAGGGAGUGGAGAUGACGGAUAACAGACACCACGUGUUACAGGGAGUGGAGAUGACGGAUAACAGACUCCACGUGUUACAGGGAGUGGAGAUGACGGAUAACAGACACCACGUGUUACAGGGAGUGGAGAUGACGGAUAACAGACUCCACGUGUUACAGGGAGUGGAGAUGACGGAUAACAGAC